rfam:Danio rerio chromosome 22, GRCz11 reference primary assembly.
CAUGGACUGAUGAAGGUUUGUUUGGAAACCCCUUGUUGAGGAAAGAACAGACCUGAUGUGUUUGGCGUG